rnacentral:rRNA from 1 species
UACGUAGGUGGCUAGCGUUGUCCGGAAUUACUGGGCGUAAAGGGCGCGUAGGCGGCCUUCUAAGUCGAACGUGAAAUCCCCGGGCUCAACCCGGGAACUGCGUCCGAUACUGGGAGGCUUGAAUCCGGGAGAGGGAUGUGGAAUUCCAGGUGUAGCGGUGAAAUGCGUAGAUAUCUGGAGGAACACCGGUGGCGAAGGCGGCAUCCUGGACCGGUAUUGACGCUGAGGCGCGAAAGCCAGGGGAGCAAACGGG